rnacentral:rRNA from 1 species
GAUGAACGCUGGCGGCGUGCCUAAUACAUGCAAGUCGAGCGAACGGACGAGAAGCUUGCUUCUCUGAUGUUAGCGGCGGACGGGUGAGUAACACGUGGAUAACCUACCUAUAAGACUGGGAUAACUUCGGGAAACCGGAGCUAAUACCGGAUGAUAUUUUGAACCGCAUGGUUCAAAAGUGAAAGACGGUCUUGCUGUCACUUAUAGAUGGAUCCGCGCUGCAUUAGCUAGUUGGUAAGGUAACGGCUUACCAAGGCAACGAUGCAUAGCCGACCUGAGAGGGUGAUCGGCCACACUGGAACUGAGACACGGUCCAGACUCCUACGGGAGGCAGCAGUAGGGAAUCUUCCGCAAUGGGCGAAAGCCUGACGGAGCAACGCCGCGUGAGUGAUGAAGGUCUUCGGAUCGUAAAACUCUGUUAUUAGGGAAGAACAUGUGCGUAAGUAACUGUGCACAUCUUGACGGUACCUAAUCAGAAAGCCACGGCUAACUACGUG